rnacentral:rRNA from 1 species
AGUGAACGCUGGCGGUAGGCCUAACACAUGCAAGUCGAACGGCAGCACAGUAAGAGCUUGCUCUUACGGGUGGCGAGUGGCGGACGGGUGAGGAAUACAUCGGAAUCUACUUUUUCGUGGGGGAUAACGUAGGGAAACUUACGCUAAUACCGCAUACGACCUACGGUUGAAAGCAGGGGAUCUUCGGACCUUGCGCGAUUGAAUGAGCCGAUGUCGGAUUAGCUAGUUGGCGGGGUAAAGGCCCACCGAGGCGACGAUCCGUAGCUGGUCUGAGAGGAUGAUCAGCCACACUGGAACUGAGACACGGUCCAGACUCCUACGGGAGGCAGCAGUGGGGAAUAUUGGACAAUGGGCGCAAGCCUGAUCCAGCCAUACCGCGUGGGUGAAGAAGGCCUUCGGGUUGUAAAGCCCUUUUGUUGGGAAAGAAAAGCAGCAGGUUAAUACCCCGCUGUUCUGACGGUACCCAAAGAAUAAGCACCGGCUAACUUCGUG